rnacentral:rRNA from 1 species
GCAGCAGCCACGGUAAUACGAAGGGGGCUAGCGUUGCUCGGAAUCACUGGGCGUAAAGGGUGCGUAGGCGGGUCUUUAAGUCAGGGGUGAAAUCCUGGAGCUCAACUCCAGAACUGCCUUUGAUACUGAAGAUCUUGAGUUCGGGAGAGGUGAGUGGAACUGCGAGUGUAGAGGUGAAAUUCGUAGAUAUUCGCAAGAACACCAGUGGCGAAGGCGGCUCACUGGCCCGAUACUGACGCUGAGGCACGAAAGCGUGGGGAGCAAACAGGAUUAGAUACCCCGGUAGUCCCUGUCUCUUAUAC